CACCGGCCGGGUGUCCCUGGCCAGAGAGCAGCCACGGCCAGAUUUAUAAACAUCCCUGCUUGUCCUCUUGAGUUUCCUCAUCCUGGCGAUUAUCAGACGUUGCUCCAAAGCGGAGGUGCAAUGAAGCUCGCCGGUUCUCCAGAGAAGGGCAGCGAAGAUGGUGACGGGCCUGGAGUGUGCAUCCUGUGGGGAGCAGCUGAUGGUGCUCAUCCUGGAGAAAAGGAGGCUCGGGGGGACCCUUCCCGCUCUCCACGGCUCCCUGACAGGAGGUGCAGCCAGCUGUUCAGUGCCCUGGAACAGCUCCGCUUUGAUGAGCAGGUGCGCGUGGUGGUGUUCAAGAGCCAGGUGAAAGGAGUGUUUUGUGCAGGAGCAGAUUUAAAGGAACGUGCAAAGAUGGAUGAUGCAGAAGUUGGAGAGUUUGUUAGAAGACUGAGAAAUCUUAUGGAUGAAAUAGCUGCCCUGCCUGUGCCCACGAUCGCUGCCAUCGAUGGCUACGCCUUGGGCGGUGGAUUAGAGCUGGCCCUGGCCUGUGACCUCCGUGUGGCAGCUUCAUCAGCUAAAAUGGGCCUUAUUGAGACCACACGAGGACUUCUGCCUGGAGCAGGUGGAACCCAGCGCCUGCCCAGAUGUGUUGGAAUAGGUCUUGCAAAGGAACUCAUUUUCACUGGCAGACAGAUUGAUGGAGAACAGGCAGCCUCCAUGGGGCUGGUAAAUCACUCAGUGCCACAGAACAGUGAGGGAGAUGCAGCUUACCAGAGAGCUUUAACUUUGGCUAAAGAAAUCCUGCCCCAGGACAGUUUUACACCCCAGCUGCAGCCACGAAGACCUGCAGGACACAUUGAAACUUCACACCAUGUUCAUCUGUGAACUGCAGACAACACCCUACUGGUUUUUUAAAAAACACUUAUUAACUUAUUGCAAAUUUCUGUAGAUAUAAUGUAGAUAUAUAGAUACAUUAAUACAGCAGUCUAUCGUGAAUUAAUGUGAAUUUAAUUAUUUUAAAAUAUUUGUUGUGGUUUGGUUUUGUUUUUAAUAAAGGCACCAUUUGCUGUGAAAAUGGGAAAACUGGCAAUAAACAAAGGAAUGGAGGUUGACAUUGCAUCAGGAAUGGCUAUUGAGGGGAUGUGUUAUACCCAGAAUAUUCCCACCAGAGACCGUCAGGAAGGGAUGGCUGCCUUCAGGGAGAAG